CGGAAUCUGCCUAUUUGUGGGGGAUAACGUAGGGAAACUUACGCUAAUACCGCAUACGACCUACGGGUGAAAGCGGAGGACCUUCGGGCUUCGCGCAGAUAGAUGAGCCGAUGUCGGAUUAGCUAGUUGGCGGGGUAAAGGCCCACCAAGGCGACGAUCCGUAGCUGGUCUGAGAGGAUGAUCAGCCACACUGGAACUGAGACACGGUCCAGACUCCUACGGGAGGCAGCAGUGGGGAAUAUUGGACAAUGGGCGCAAGCCUGAUCCAGCCAUGCCGCGUGGGUGAAGAAGGCCUUCGGGUUGUAAAGCCCUUUUGUUGGGAAAGAAAAGCAGUCGGUUAAUACCCGAUUGUUCUGACGGUACCCAAAGAAUAAGCACCGGCUAACUUCGUGCCAGCAGCCGCGGUAAUACGAAGGGUGCAAGCGUUACUCGGAAUUACUGGGCGUAAAGCGUGCGUAGGUGGUUUGUUAAGUCUGAUGUGAAAGCCCUGGGCUCAACCUGGGAAUUGCAUUGGAUACUGGCAGGCUAGAGUGCGGUAGAGGGUAGUGGAAUCCCCGGU
rnacentral:rRNA from 1 species